rnacentral:rRNA from 1 species
GGGUUGUGAGGUUAAGCGACUAAGCGUACACGGUGGAUGCCCUGGCAGUCAGAGGCGAUGAAGGACGUGCUAAUCUGCGAAAAGCGCCGGCGAGGUGAUAUGAACCUUUGACCCGGCGAUGUCCGAAUGGGGAAACCCAGUGCAAUUCGUUGCACUAUCGUUUGAUGAAUACAUAGUCAAACGAGGCGAACCGGGGGAACUGAAACAUCUAAGUACCCCGAGGAAAAGAAAUCAACCGAGAUUCCCCCAGUAGCGGCGAGCGAACGGGGAGCAGCCCAGAGCCUGAAUCAGCUUGUGUGUUAGUGGAAGCGUCUGGAAAGUCGCGCGAUACAGGGUGACAGCCCCGUACACGAAAGCACACAGGCUGUGAGCUCGAUGAGUAGGGCGGGACACGUGGUAUCCUGUCUGAAUAUGGGGGGACCAUCCUCCAAGGCUAAAUACUCCUGACUGACCGAUAGUGAACCAGUACCGUGAGGGAAAGGCGAAAAGAACCCCGGCGAGGGGAGUGAAAAAGAACCUGAAACCGUGUACGUACAAGCAGUGGGAGCCUCUUAAUGGGGUGACUGCGUACCUUUUGUAUAAUGGGUCAGCGACUUAUAUUCUGUAGCAAGGUUAACCGAAUAGGGGAGCCGAAGGGAAACCGAGUCUUAACUGGGCGUUAAGUUGCAGGGUAUAGACCCGAAACCCGGUGAUCUAGCCAUGGGCAGGUUGAAGGUUGGGUAACACUAACUGGAGGACCGAACCGACUAAUGUUGAAAAAUUAGCGGAUGACUUGUGGCUGGGGGUGAAAGGCCAAUCAAACCGGGAGAUAGCUGGUUCUCCCCGAAAGCUAUUUAGGUAGCGCCUCGUGAAUUCAUCUCCGGGGGUAGAGCACUGUUUCGGCUAGGGGGCCAUCCCGGCUUACCAACCCGAUGCAAACUACGAAUACCGGAGAAUGUUAUCACGGGAGACACACGGCGGGUGCUAACGUCCGUCGUGAAGAGGGAAACAACCCAGACCGCCAGCUAAGGUCCCAAAGUCAUGGUUAAGUGGGAAACGAUGUGGGAAGGCACAGACAGCCAGGAUGUUGGCUUAGAAGCAGCCAUCAUUUAAAGAAAGCGUAAUAGCUCACUGGUCGAGUCGGCCUGCGCGGAAGAUGUAACGGGGCUAAACCAUGCACCGAAGCUGCGGCAGCGACACUAAGUGUUGUUGGGUAGGGGAGCGUUCUGUAAGCCUGCGAAGGUGUGCUGUGAGGCAUGCUGGAGGUAUCAGAAGUGCGAAUGCUGACAUAAGUAACGAUAAAGCGGGUGAAAAGCCCGCUCGCCGGAAGACCAAGGGUUCCUGUCCAACGUUAAUCGGGGCAGGGUGAGUCGACCCCUAAGGCGAGGCCGAAAGGCGUAGUCGAUGGGAAACAGGUUAAUAUUCCUGUACUUGGUGUUACUGCGAAGGGGGGACGGAGAAGGCUAUGUUAGCCGGGCGACGGUUGUCCCGGUUUAAGCAUGUAGGCUGGUUAUCCAGGCAAAUCCGGAUAAUCAAGGCUGAGGUGUGAUGACGAGUCACUACGGUGAUGAAGUAACAAAUGCCCUGCUUCCAGGAAAAGCCUCUAAGCAUCAGGUAACACGAAAUCGUACCCCAAACCGACACAGGUGGUCAGGUAGAGAAUACCAAGGCGCUUGAGAGAACUCGGGUGAAGGAACUAGGCAAAAUGGUGCCGUAACUUCGGGAGAAGGCACGCUGAUAUGUAGGUGAAGCCCCUGCGGGUGGAGCUGAAAUCAGUCGAAGAUACCAGCUGGCUGCAACUGUUUAUUAAAAACACAGCACUGUGCAAACACGAAAGUGGACGUAUACGGUGUGACGCCUGCCCGGUGCCGGAAGGUUAAUUGAUGGGGUUAUCCGUAAGGAGAAGCUCUUGAUCGAAGCCCCGGUAAACGGCGGCCGUAACUAUAACGGUCCUAAGGUAGCGAAAUUCCUUGUCGGGUAAGUUCCGACCUGCACGAAUGGCGUAAUGAUGGCCAGGCUGUCUCCACCCGAGACUCAGUGAAAUUGAACUCGCUGUGAAGAUGCAGUGUACCCGCGGCAAGACGGAAAGACCCCGUGAACCUUUACUAUAGCUUGACACUGAACAUUGAGCCUUGAUGUGUAGGAUAGGUGGGAGGCUUUGAAGUGUGGACGCCAGUCUGCAUGGAGCCAACCUUGAAAUACCACCCUUUAAUGUUUGAUGUUCUAACGUGGACCCGUGAUCCGGGUUGCGGACAGUGUCUGGUGGGUAGUUUGACUGGGGCGGUCUCCUCCCAAAGAGUAACGGAGGAGCACGAAGGUUGGCUAAUCCUGGUCGGACAUCAGGAGGUUAGUGCAAUGGCAUAAGCCAGCUUGACUGCGAGCGUGACGGCGCGAGCAGGUGCGAAAGCAGGUCAUAGUGAUCCGGUGGUUCUGAAUGGAAGGGCCAUCGCUCAACGGAUAAAAGGUACUCCGGGGAUAACAGGCUGAUACCGCCCAAGAGUUCAUAUCGACGGCGGUGUUUGGCACCUCGAUGUCGGCUCAUCACAUCCUGGGGCUGAAGUAGGUCCCAAGGGUAUGGCUGUUCGCCAUUUAAAGUGGUACGCGAGCUGGGUUUAGAACGUCGUGAGACAGUUCGGUCCCUAUCUGCCGUGGGCGCUGGAGAAUUGAGGGGGGCUGCUCCUAGUACGAGAGGACCGGAGUGGACGCAUCACUGGUGUUCGGGUUGUCAUGCCAAUGGCACUGCCCGGUAGCUACAUGCGGAAGAGAUAAGUGCUGAAAGCAUCUAAGCACGAAACUUGCCCCGAGAUGAGUUCUCCCUUGGACUUUAAGUCCACUAAAGGAACGUUGAAGACGACGACGUUGAUAGGCCGGGUGUGUAAGCGCAGCGAUGCGUUGAGCUAACCGGUACUAAUGAACCGUGAGGCUUAACCUUACAACGCCGAAG